UACGUAGGGGGCAAGCGUUGUCCGGAUUUAUUGGGCGUAAAGAGCGUGUAGGCGGCCAGACAGGUCCGUUGUGAAAACUCGAGGCUCAACCUCGAGACGCCGAUGGAAACCGUCUGGCUAGAGUCCGGAAGAGGAGAGUGGAAUUCCUGGUGUAGCGGUGAAAUGCGCAGAUAUCAGGAGGAACACCGGUGGCGAGGGCGGGUCUCUGGGCCGAUACUGACGCUGAGGAGCGAAAGCGUGGGGAGCGAACAGG
rnacentral:rRNA from 1 species